rnacentral:rRNA from 1 species
GAUGAACGCUGACAGAAUGCUUAACACAUGCAAGUCGACUUGAACGUCGGUUUGUGUGGCUGGCGGUUGAGUAACGCGUAGGGAACUUGCCUCACAGUUAGGGACAACAUUUUGAAAGGAAUGCUAAUACCAGAUAUUAUGAUAUUAGGGCAUCCUAGAAGUAUGAUAGCUGUAUGCGCUGUGAGAGGGCUUUGCGUCCCAUUAGCUAGUUGGAGCGGUAACGCUUCACCAAGGCGAGGAUGGGUAGCCGGCCUGAGAGGGUGAACGGCCACAAGGGAACUGAGAAACGGCCAUUACUCUUCCGGGAGGAAGAAGUGGGGAAUAUUGGACAUGGGACCAAGCGUAUGAUCGAGCAGUUGUGUGUGGAAGAUGAAGCUUUUCGGAAUGAAACGUGCUUUCAGUUGAGAAGAAAAAAAUGACGGUACCAACAGAAGAAGUGCCGGCUAACUACGUG